UUAUUCUUCUGUUUCGCCCUAAGGGGUCCUUUCUUCACGCAGCCGCCAUCGCAACCUUCUCUUAGCUAAAAUGCGAGCUUAGCAUUCUCCCGCCAUCGUCUUCUUCUUCUAUUGCAACAUUUUAGUUGAUGUUUGUUCUCCUUCUCCUGUGAAUCGGAAGUCACGACGGGAUCUCGCACCGACUUCGCGUGUUUCGCGUGAAGAAUAUUUUUGAAGUAGUUCCAUGUAGGGAGCUAGCCGUGAAGUAACGAUCUUUUUCUCCAAGCGCUUCUUCGACUGUUCUCUGCUAAAAAAGCGUCUUCGCUUCUUCGCCUUUUUCUACGACGUUGUUCCUGAUUGAUUGUAAGUCAAGAAGCGAGUUCGUUGCUAAGGUAGCGAUCUAUUUCACCCCGCGCUUCUUCGAAUAUUCUCUGCUAAAGAAGCUCUUCGCCUCGGUGAUUUUGUUUCAUAGCCUCAAACAUCGCAAUCGAAGCAGUGACCUUUUUGUCAGUUUUCACGUCGUUCUCCCCUCGUGCGCUCCACUGUCGCCGGCCUCUCCCACCAGCACCUACAUGCAUGCCAGCCAACCACCUUCAACUGAUUUACCUGCUGCCCUUGCAAUACCUGAAAGAUUUCAUCAGGCAUAUGAAGCUUGAAAAUUGAAAGAGUCUUCUCCUGUUUAAUUUUUCUACUCUAUCUUGAUGGAUGUGGUGUUAGAAUGGUUUGGUGGUUGAAUCAUGGAGAGGCUCAUUAGGCUCAUUCACAUUGGCUUUAUGUACCUGCAAAAUCAAUUCACUUGGAGCAAAAGCAUGAAUGAGGAGCUGGAAAGGCUGCAAAAAAUCCACCCCCCUUGAUCCAAUCUGUCGUGUUUGCUUCCAAUGAAGCGCGUAUCGGAGAUCAAAACCCAUCUCUCAACAAAUGGCUAUGGCUUCUACGAGCUGUCAUUGAUGUUGCAGAUGAUGUGCUCGAUGAGUUUGAGUACAAGCAACUUCAGAAGCAGCUGAACAUAAAGGAAAGACUUAUAAAAUUUGGUAAACGUGCUCUCUAUAUUGAUUCCACAUUGAAGAAACUGGAGGUGGUAGUGAAGAAACUUGACGAAGUUUCAAUUGAUGUUGGUAAAUUAUUUUACCUUACAUAAAAUACAAUGCUAGAGAAGUAGGAGCACCAAUUUGAGUUGGAAAAAACACGUGAAUCAAGUUCCUUGCCUAAAAUGAUCUGAUUGGUCGAGCUAAGGAUAAGGAGUUUGUUAUGCUGUGUUUAAGGAAGCCAUAAAAUGAACAACCAAUUCAUACUACAACCACAACGUUGUAUAGAAACAUUUCUGUUCUAUCUACGGUCGGUCAUGGAGGUAUGGGGAAGACAACUCUGUUGCAACAUGUCUAUGAAGAUGAAAUGACAAUGGGAUUAGAUCUUAAAAUCUGGGUUUGUGUUUCCAACAGUUUUGAUGAUAAAAGAGUCAUUAAAGAUACUUUGGCAUCCUAUGAAGGGAAGAUGUUGGACUUGGAGUCACUUAAUAAACUUCAAGAGAGUCUUAAGAUCAAGAUGAUGUUCAAAAAUUUUUUACUCAUUCUGGAUAACAUUUGGGAGUAGGAUAAAGUCAAAUGGGAGAAUUUGUUGACACCUCUGGCCAAUGGAUGUUUGGGAAGUAAAAUUUUGAUAACAAGUCAAAUAGACUCGAUUGCAAUGAUGAUAUCAAAGGUAAUUAAAAAGAAAAUGGAAAUAUUGAGAUUAUGAGGCUUGUUGGAGGAAGUGAGCGUUUGCAACUCCUCAACUAUCAUACAUUUCUUAAUAUGGGGAAUCUUCAUGAUAAUAAGAAAAUAAGAGUCAUUGCUGGACAGAUAGCUAAAAAGUUCUAAAGAAUCUCUGUUGGUAGCAAUGGUCAUCGGCGGUAUUUUGAAUUUUAGCUUUACUGAAAAAUAUUUGAUGAAAGUCUUAAACAAUAAUUUUGGAAUUAUAAAAUUGGAUCAUAAUUUUAUUAUACAUAUCUUAAGAUUAAGAUAUAAUCUUUUGCCAAAACAUCUAUAAAAUUAUUUCACUUUUAUAGUUAAGUUGUUUGGAGUGGCACACUUUACCUCCUUUUUUGUACUUCUCUUUCUCAAGUUUCUUACUCUUGUUGGUAUGCCAAAAGUAAAACAACAAUGCAGUAAAUUGUAUGGGAAUGAUAGAGAUUUUGUCUUUCAAUCUCUAGAGAUGCUAUGCAUCAAAAAUUUGAAUGCACUGGAGAAUUGAUUAGAUGCGGCUAUAGUGGAAUAUUAUUGUAGGUUUCCAUGCUUGAGAGAACUAUGCCUAGAAAACGGCUCAAUUUGCAAGAGUUACCCGCUUGGCCUCCUAUGCUCAAGGCAUUAAAUGCAAAUAACAUUGGAUAGAAAGCUUUGAAUUGUUAUAGCAUCUCAGAGUCUGUUCCCCUUGAAGUUUUAAAAGUCUGCUGUUCAAACAUCACAUCUCUUCCCCUAGCUGAUGAAAUUCCUGCACUCAGAUGAUUGGAAAUUAGAGAUUACCACAAUUUGAUCUCUCCCGAAGGACUACAUGAAGUGGAGACUACUGAGACUUGCCAGCUCAUUAUAAGUGAACUUGAUAUAAAUGAUCCAUCUGUUUUGCCAAUGACACCAUUAAGAAAUAUCAACUCCAUCCAAAAGUUAACAAUUGAGAUAAAAAUGAACUGGUUUAAUUUCCAAUUGAGGCAGAGCAGUGGUUUUACUUUUUGCAAGUUAGCUCAUCUAUUUGUGAGUUAAACUUUAGAAGGAUAAAAUCCCUACAAUCUUUCCCUUAUUGGAAUGUCUUUCUUCACUUAAGGUUUCACAUGUACAAUAAGUUGCAGAACUCCAAAAGUUGCCAAACAUCCCAACCUCUUUGGAACGAUUAGUACUCAUCCAACUCAAAUUAUUAUAGAUCCAACCUUCUUGCUUAUCUUUCUCCUAUUCGUCACUUCAAAAACUUUUCAUUUGUGAAGUUCCUUAGCUGCAAGAAUUACCAGACCUCCCUUCCUCUGUGUUUUUUGCAUCUAGAAUCUCUUGGUAGCCUGGAUUGCCCGCCUUCUUGCCUUUCUAGCCUUUCCUCUUUCCAUGAACUUCACAUUAAUUUUGUUCCUCGGAUCCAAACAUUACCUACCCUACCUCCUUUGCGUGAACUAAAUUUAGGUCAGCUUGCAAACCUGUAUUGCUUGCCUUCUAAUCUUCCUAGUCUUUUUUCUCUAAAAAAAACUAAGAAUCAAUAUGUUUCCAAAGAUCCCAGAAUUGUCAAACCUCCCUCCAUCUUUGUGUUUUCUUUAUCUAGAAAAUCUUGAUAGCCUUGAUGGCUUGCUUUCUUGCCAUCCUAGCCUUUCUUCUCUCCAAGAAUUUUGUUUCUUUUAGUACCGGGGACACCGAAGUCACUCCAAUCUAAAGUCAACAACUUUAAAUUCUUCUUGUCACUUAAUUUUGCAGUGCAAGCUUCUUUGGUAUCAUUUAUGCUCUCAAGAAAUUUGAUAUGUAAUAGUUGAAAGAUCAUUCAUCUUCUCUAGUUCUCCAAUUCUAUAGUUAGUCUUAUUUGUAAAGCAAAAUAAUUCUGUGAUCCACAUAAUAAUUAACGUUUCUUGCUUGAAGUUAUGAUCUUGUGGGAAUAUGAAACAAAAGGUGAAACAAUUUUGUAGAUGCCUUGGCAAAAAUAUAUAGCUUAGUCUUAAGAUGUGCAUGAUAGCAUUCUGAUCUAAUUUUAUACUUCAAAAAACACUUUUUAAGAUUUUCAUCUAAUAUAUUUUAGUGAAGUUAGAAUUUAAAAUGUCACCGACGACUCUUUGCUGCCAAUGGAGAUCCUAAGAGCUUUUAACUAUCUAUCUAGCUAUUACUCUUAAUCCAGACCUCUCCCACUCCUUGGAAAAUAUGAUCAUCAACAAUUAUCGUCCAUAAUUGCAGAAGUGUUAUCAAAUGAUUUCAAGUUUUGACAGGCACAAGAUUGUUCAGAUUCCUCAUUUUCAUAUUUCUACUAAAUGGUAUAUUAUGAGGCGUUUUUCAUUCUCCAACUAUGACUUCUAGAAAGACAAUCUAAGCACUGCUCCAAUU